rnacentral:lncRNA from 1 species
GAUGGCAUAGGUGCACUGAGCCUUCUAGCUGUUUGUCAGAGUUGCCUUCUGCCUGGAAAUGCUCUUCAAGAUGUCAAAGGUUUGAGGGUUUCAACCAGAACAUCUCGAGAAAAAGAGGUCUGAAGAGCAGAGGAGCCUGUUUAGCUAAAGCACCUGGAUUUUCCAUGGGAGGAGAGUGAUGAGGAAGAAGGCUGGGACAGGUGCUCCCUUCUUUCAAUGAUGAAUCCAGUCAGUGUCUGGCUUCAGAACAUUUGCUAUUUG